GGGGGGGGGGGGGCAUAUUCAGCACAACAUGGGGGGGGGGCCUAUUCAGACACAACAUGGGGGGGGGGGGGCAUAUUCAGCACAACUGGGGGGGGGGCAUAUUCAGCGCAACACCACCUCCUCACAACAGGGACCCAAUAACACAACAAGGGAAGCUAUCCAGCCCUAAACCCCUAGCCACCACUGUAAGACUAAAAUAUCUGAUGGAUGACAGCUAGAUAUUAGUGACCAAUCCUGGUCCGGAGACCAUUCGGUCUCCAGGAUUGGAGGCGACUGACCUACACUCAGCCAAUCAUUUCAGAUCAACGACAAGCUCCAGGAAUACGGCCCAGGGAUUGUUUCAGCCAGAGUAACAGAACCAGUCCUUACCCAGCCCUUCACCUUCUUCUUCUCUUGAAUCUUCACUUUCUCCACUCCGCCGGUGUUCACUUUGACCUCCUCCAGCUUGGCAUCCAACUCCUUCUCAUUGGCCAGGCCGUUGAGCACGGGGCAGUAUGAUUGGCCGUUGGGCAGGUUAACCCCGUCCUCCCCGUUGUCCUCCAGGCAGUAGGUGUUGAGGAUGUCCUCCAUGGCGGCUCAGCUCCUCAGCCAUGUCACACUGAGCACACCCCCUCCUCUAUAGUGGAGCCGGGAGGGGUACAGGGUCUGCUACAGUGAGAGGGUACGGGGUCUGCUAAGUGGAGACUGUACGGGGUCUGCUACAGUGGAGCUGGUACGGGGUCUGCUACAGUGGAGACGGGUACGGGGUUGCUACAGUGGAGACGGGUACGGGGUCUGCUACAGUGGAGAAUGGUACGGGGUCUGCUACAGUGGAGACGGUACGGGGUCUGCUACAGUGGAGACGGGUACGGGGUCUGCUACAGUGGAGAGGGUACGCGGGUCUGCUACAGUGGAGACGGGUACGGGAUCUGCUACAGUGGAGACUGGUACGGGGUCUGCUACAGUGGAGACUGGUACGGGGUCUGCUACAGUGGAGACGGGUACGGGGUCUGCUACAGUGGAGACUGGUACGGGGUCUGCUACAGUGGAGACGGUACGGGGUCUGUACAGUGGGGACGGUACGGGUCUGCUACGUGGAGACGGGUACGGGGUCUGCUACGUGGAGGACUGGUACCGGGUCUGCUACAGUGGAGACUGGUGACGGGUCUGCUACAGUGGAGACUGGUACGGGGUCUGCUACAGUGGAGACUGGUACGGGGUCUGCUACAGUGGAGACUGGUACGGGGUCUGCUACAGGUGGGACCGUGGGGAUGGCUGCAGACUCUGCUGUGUUGGAAACGGCAGCCACUAGACAGGGGACAAAAGAUAUAUAAAGACAUAUUUUUUUUUUUACAUGAAAUUCAGCAAUAA
rnacentral:lncRNA from 1 species